rnacentral:rRNA from 1 species
GACGAACGUUGGCGGCGUGCUUAACACAUGCAAGUCGAGCGGUAAGGCCCUUUCGGGGGUACACGAGCGGCGAACGGGUGAGUAACACGUGGGUGACCUGCCCUCAGCUCUGGGAUAAGCCCGGGAAACUGGGUCUAAUACCGGAUAUGACUUCAUGACGCAUGUUGUGGAGUGGAAAGCCUUGUGCGGCUGAGGAUGGGCCCGCGGCCUAUCAGCUUGUUGGUGGGGUGAUGGCCUACCAAGGCGACGACGGGUAGCCGGCCUGAGAGGGCGACCGGCCACACUGGGACUGAGAUACGGCCCAGACUCCUACGGGAGGCAGCAGUGGGGAAUCUUGCGCAAUGGGCGAAAGCCUGACGCAGCGACGCCGCGUGAGGGAUGACGGCCUCGGUGUAA